rnacentral:rRNA from 1 species
AUACGUAGGGGGCGAGCGUUGUCCGGAAUGAUUGGGCGUAAAGGGCGCGUAGGCGGCCCGGUAAGUCUGGAGUGAAAGUCCUGUUUUUAAGAUGGGAAUUGCUUUGGAUACUGUCGGGCUUGAGUGCAGGAGAGGUAAGUGGGAUUCCCAGUGUAGCGGUGAAAUGCGUAGAGAUUGGGAGGAACACCAGUGGCGAAGGCGACUUACUGGACUGUAACUGACGCUGAGGCGCGAAAGUGUGGGGAGCAAACAGGAUUAGAUACCCUGGUAGUCCACACUGUAAACGAUGAAUGCUAGGUGUAGGGGGUAUCGACCCCUCCUGUGCCGCAGUCAACACAAUAAGCAUUCCGCCUGGGGAGUACGGCCGCAAGGUUGAAACUCAAAUGAAUUGACGGGG